UACGUAGGGGGCUAGCGUUGUCCGGAAUCAUUGGGCGUAAAGGGCGUGUAGGUGGUUUCGUAAGUCUGGCGUGAAAUAUCUCGGCUUAACCGAGGCAGGUCGUCGGAUACUGCGGAACUGGAGGACGGUAGAGGCGUGUGGAAUUCCGGGUGUAGUGGUGAAAUGCGUAGAGAUCCGGAGGAACACCAGUGGCGAAGGCGACACGCUGGGCCGUACCUGACACUGAUGCGCGACAGCAUGGGGAGCAAACAGG
rnacentral:rRNA from 1 species